UGGGGAAUUUUGGACAAUGGGCGAAAGCCUGAUUCAGCCACGCCGCGUGCAGGAUGAAGGCCUUAGGGUUGUAAACUGUUUUAUAUAUGGUAGAAAUGACGGACUUGUCUAUAUAAUGAGGGCUGGCCAAGGUACCGUAAGAUAAAGCACCGGCUAACUACGUUCCAGCA
rnacentral:rRNA from 1 species